CCUACGGGGGGCAGCAGUGGGGAAUCUUGCACAAUGGGGGCAACUCUGAUGCAGCGACGCCGCGUGAGUGAAGAAGUAUUUCGGUAUGUAAAGCUCUAUCAGCAGGGAAGAAAAUGACGGUACCUGACUAAGAAGCCCCGGCUAACUACGUGCCAGCAGCCGCGGUAAGACGUAGGGGGCAAGCGUUAUCCGGAUUUACUGGGUGGAAAGGGAGCGUAGACGGCCAGACAAGUCAGAAGUGAAAGCCCAGGGCUCAACCCUGGGACUGCUUUUGAAACUGCCGGGCUGGAGUGCAGGAGAGGGAAGCGGAAUUCCAAGGGUAGCGGUGAAAUGCGUAGAUAUUAGGAGGAACACCAGUGGCGAAGGCGGCUUACUGGACUGUAACUGACGUUGAGGCUCGAAAGCGUGGGGAGCAAACAGGAUUAGAUACCCCAGUAGUC
rnacentral:rRNA from 1 species